CUGCCAGUCAUAUGCUUGUCUCAAAGAUUAAGCCAUGCAUGUCUGAGUACCUGCCGACCUAAGGUGAAACCGCGAAUGGCUCAUUAAAUCAGUCAUGAUUUACAGGAUGUUGUAAAACGCUUACUCGGAUAACUGUGGUAAUUCUAGAGCUAAUACGUGCAAUUAGUCUCCGACCUCGUCGGCGAGGAAUCGCCGUCGGGGGAAGGGCGCAUUUAUUAGACCAAAAACCGGGUGGGCGGCUCGCCGCCCAUUCCUCUACGGUUACGUGGUGACUCUGGAUAACUAUAGCCGAGCGCUGAGGUCUUCGCACCGGCGCCGUAUCCUCCGAGUGUCUGCCUUAUCAGCUCUCGAUUGUAGGUCAUACGCCUACAAUGGCUGUAACGGGUAACGGGGAAUCAGGGUUCGAUUCCGGAGAGGGAGCCUGAGAAACGGCUACCACAUCUAAGGAAGGCAGCAGGCACGCAAAUUACCCAAUCCCGGCUCGGGGAGGUAGUGACGAGAAAUAACGAUAUGGGACUCUUCCGAGGCCUCAUAAUCGGAAUGAGUGCGAUGUAAAAACGUGGACGAGGAUCCAUUGGAGGGCAAGUCUGGUGC
rnacentral:rRNA from 1 species